GGUUAAGCGACUAAGCGUACACGGUGGAUGCCCUGGCAGUCAGAGGCGAUGAAGGACGUGCUAAUCUGCGAUAAGCGUCGGUAAGGUGAUAUGAACCGUUAUAACCGGCGAUUUCCGAAUGGGGAAACCCAGUGUGAUUCGUCACACUAUCAUUAACUGAAUCCAUAGGUUAAUGAGGCGAACCGGGGGAACUGAAACAUCUAAGUACCCCGAGGAAAAGAAAUCAACCGAGAUUCCCCCAGUAGCGGCGAGCGAACGGGGAGCAGCCCAGAGCCUGAAUCAGUGUGUGUGUUAGUGGAAGCGUCUGGAAAGGCGCGCGAUACAGGGUGACAGCCCCGUACACAAAAAUGCACAUACUGUGAGCUCGAUGAGUAGGGCGGGACACGUGGUAUCCUGUCUGAAUAUGGGGGGACCAUCCUCCAAGGCUAAAUACUCCUGACUGACCGAUAGUGAACCAGUACCGUGAGGGAAAGGCGAAAAGAACCCCGGCGAGGGGAGUGAAAAAGAACCUGAAACCGUGUACGUACAAGCAGUGGGAGCACAGAGCAAUCUGUGUGACUGCGUACCUUUUGUAUAAUGGGUCAGCGACUUAUAUUCUGUAGCAAGGUUAACCGAAUAGGGGAGCCGAAGGGAAACCGAGUCUUAACUGGGCGUUAAGUUGCAGGGUAUAGACCCGAAACCCGGUGAUCUAGCCAUGGGCAGGUUGAAGGUUGGGUAACACUAACUGGAGGACCGAACCGACUAAUGUUGAAAAAUUAGCGGAUGACUUGUGGCUGGGGGUGAAAGGCCAAUCAAACCGGGAGAUAGCUGGUUCUCCCCGAAAGCUAUUUAGGUAGCGCCUCGUGAAUUCAUCUCCGGGGGUAGAGCACUGUUUCGGCAAGGGGGUCAUCCCGACUUACCAACCCGAUGCAAACUGCGAAUACCGGAGAAUGUUAUCACGGGAGACACACGGCGGGUGCUAACGUCCGUCGUGAAGAGGGAAACAACCCAGACCGCCAGCUAAGGUCCCAAAGUCAUGGUUAAGUGGGAAACGAUGUGGGAAGGCCCAGACAGCCAGGAUGUUGGCUUAGAAGCAGCCAUCAUUUAAAGAAAGCGUAAUAGCUCACUGGUCGAGUCGGCCUGCGCGGAAGAUGUAACGGGGCUAAACCAUGCACCGAAGCUGCGGCAGCGACGCUGAUGCGUUGUUGGGUAGGGGAGCGUUCUGUAAGCCUGUGAAGGUGUGCUGUGAGGCAUGCUGGAGGUAUCAGAAGUGCGAAUGCUGACAUAAGUAACGAUAAAGCGGGUGAAAAGCCCGCUCGCCGGAAGACCAAGGGUUCCUGUCCAACGUUAAUCGGGGCAGGGUGAGUCGACCCCUAAGGCGAGGCCGAAAGGCGUAGUCGAUGGGAAACAGGUUAAUAUUCCUGUACUUGGUGUUACUGCGAAGGGGGGACGGAGAAGGCUAUGUUGGCCGGGCGACGGUUGUCCCGGUUUAAGCGUGUAGGCUGGUUUUCCAGGCAAAUCCGGAAAAUCAAGGCUGAGGCGUGAUGACGAGGCACUACGGUGCUGAAGCUACAAAUGCCCUGCUUCCAGGAAAAGCCUCUAAGCAUCAGGUAACAUCAAAUCGUACCCCAAACCGACACAGGUGGUCAGGUAGAGAAUACCAAGGCGCUUGAGAGAACUCGGGUGAAGGAACUAGGCAAAAUGGUGCCGUAACUUCGGGAGAAGGCACGCUGAUAUGUAGGUGAAGUCCCUCGCGGAUGGAGCUGAAAUCAGUCGAAGAUACCAGCUGGCUGCAACUGUUUAUUAAAAACACAGCACUGUGCAAACACGAAAGUGGACGUAUACGGUGUGACGCCUGCCCGGUGCCGGAAGGUUAAUUGAUGGGGUCAGCGCAAGCGAAGCUCUUGAUCGAAGCCCCGGUAAACGGCGGCCGUAACUAUAACGGUCCUAAGGUAGCGAAAUUCCUUGUCGGGUAAGUUCCGACCUGCACGAAUGGCGUAAUGAUGGCCAGGCUGUCUCCACCCGAGGCUCAGUGAAAUUGAACUCGCUGUGAAGAUGCAGUGUACCCGCGGCAAGACGGAAAGACCCCGUGAACCUUUACUAUAGCUUGACACUGAACAUUGAGCCUUGAUGUGUAGGAUAGGUGGGAGGCUUAGAAGUGUGGACGCCAGUCUGCAUGGAGCCGACCUUGAAAUACCACCCUUUAAUGUUUGAUGUUCUAACGUUGACCCGUAAUCCGGGUUGCGGACAGUGUCUGGUGGGUAGUUUGACUGGGGCGGUCUCCUCCUAAAGAGUAACGGAGGAGCACGAAGGUUGGCUAAUCCUGGUCGGACAUCAGGAGGUUAGUGCAAUGGCAUAAGCCAGCUUGACUGCGAGCGUGACGGCGCGAGCAGGUGCGAAAGCAGGUCAUAGUGAUCCGGUGGUUCUGAAUGGAAGGGCCAUCGCUCAACGGAUAAAAGGUACUCCGGGGAUAACAGGCUGAUACCGCCCAAGAGUUCAUAUCGACGGCGGUGUUUGGCACCUCGAUGUCGGCUCAUCACAUCCUGGGGCUGAAGUAGGUCCCAAGGGUAUGGCUGUUCGCCAUUUAAAGUGGUACGCGAGCUGGGUUUAGAACGUCGUGAGACAGUUCGGUCCCUAUCUGCCGUGGGCGCUGGAGAACUGAGGGGGGCUGCUCCUAGUACGAGAGGACCGGAGUGGACGCAUCACUGGUGUUCGGGUUGUCAUGCCAAUGGCACUGCCCGGUAGCUAAAUGCGGAAGAGAUAAGUGCUGAAAGCAUCUAAGCACGAAACUUGCCCCGAGAUGAGUUCUCCCUGACCCUUUAAGGGUCCUGAAGGAACGUUGAAGACGACGACGUUGAUAGGCCGGGUGUGUAAGCGCAGCGAUGCGUUGAGCUAACCGGUACUAAUGAACCGUGAGGCUUAACCUU
rnacentral:rRNA from 1 species